CAGCUUAGGCUCUGGCCCAGAUCAGGGCUCUGGCCUGUUUAGAGCUCUAGGUGCAGCUCAGCUCCCAGCCCAGAUCAGGGCUCUUGGCCCAGCUCCAAGGCUCUGGCCCAAUUCAGGGCUCUUGGCCCCUUUUAAGGUCCUGGCCCAGUUCAGGCUCUGGCCCAGCUCAGGGCUCUAGGCCCAGCUCAGGCUCUGGCCCUCUUAAGACUGGCCCAGCUCAGUUCCUGACCCAGUUCAGCUCCCAGGCCAGGUGACAACUCUGUUCCAGCUCAGGGCCCUAGGCCUGGCUCAGGGCUCUGGACCCGGCUCAGGGCUCUGUUCUAGUUUAAGGUACUUUCCCAGUUUGGGCCCAGCUCCCAGUUAAGAGCAUGGCCUCCCCCUCCGCCCCCCGCCCAAAUUUGGGCUCCAGUCCCCGCCCUACUCUCACUUCCGCUUCCGGUGCAAGAUGGGCCAAUCAGCACACAUGGGGAUGAGGGCGGCAGCCAAUAGCAGUGCGUGGGGCGGGGCAGGCGUUGCCCUGCGUCACCCUGGCAACGGGAGCGGCCGCCCCCGGGUCCCUCUGCCCGCCCGCAGCCACCCCUGGGAACACCCUGUCCCCUUGGGGGGCCCCAGUGUCCCCCCCACCCCCCCCUGGGGACACCCCCAUCCCCUUGGGGUCCCCAGUGUCUGUCCCCCCUCUCCUGGGGAGCCCCCUGUCCCCUUGGGGGGCCCCAGUGUCCCCCCCAGCCCCUCCUGGGGACACCCCCAUCCCCUUGGGGUCCCCAGUGUCUGUCCCCCCUCUCCUGGGGAGCCCCCUGUCCCCUUGGGGGGCCCCAGUGUCCCCCCCAGCCCCUCCUGGGGACACUCCUAUCCCCUUGGGGGGCUCCUGUGUCCCCCCAGGACCCUCCUGUCCUUGGGGACAUCCCCCUCCCCAAUAGCAGGGACACUGGUGUCCCCAAGUGCCACCCCCCCGACAGGACACACUGCCACCGGUGAUGUCACCGCACGAGCUUUAAUGGGCUGAAAUGGGGCGGAAAAGGGGCAAAGCUGUAAAAAGAAAUAAAGCGUUGGGUCACUGG